rnacentral:rRNA from 1 species
AUACGUAGGGUGCAAGCGUUAAUCGGAAUUACUGGGCGUAAAGCGUGCGCAGGCGGUUUUGUAAGACAGUGGUGAAAUCCCCGGGCUCAACCUGGGAACUGCCCUUGUGACUGCAAGGCUGGAGGGCGGCAGAGGGGGAUGGAAUUCCGCGGGUAGCAGUGAAAUGCGUAGAUAUGCGGAGGAACACCGAUGGCGAAGGCAAUCCCCUGGGCCUGCACUGACGCUCAUGCACGAAAGCGUGGGGAGCAAACAGGAUUAGAUACCCUGGUAGUCCACGCCCUAAACGAUGUCAACUGGUUGUUGGGGAUUUAUUUUCUCAGUGACGAAGCUAACGCGUGAAGUUGACCGCCUGGGGAGUACGGCCGCAAGGUUAAAACUCAAAGGAAUUGACGGGG